UGGGGAAUAUUGGACAAUGGGCGCACGCCUGAUCCAGCCAUGCCGCGUGAGUGAUGAAGGCCCUAGGGUUGUAAAGCUCUUUCACCGGUGAAGAUAAUGACGGUAACCGGAGAAGAAGCCCCGGCUAACUUCGUGCCAGCAGCCGCGGUAAUACGAAGGGGGCUAGCGUUGUUCGGAUUUACUGGGCGUAAAGCGCACGUAGGCGGACUAUUAAGUCAGGGGUGAAAUCCCGGGGCUCAACCCCGGAACUGCCUUUGAUACUGGUAGUCUUGAGUUCGAGAGAGGUGAGUGGAAUUCCGAGUGUAGAGGUGAAAUUCGUAGAUAUUCGGAGGAACACCAGUGGCGAAGGCGGCUCACUGGCUCGAUACUGACGCUGAGGUGCGAAAGCGUGGGGAGCAAACAGG
rnacentral:rRNA from 1 species